UAUCCUGCUCGAGAUGAACGCUGGCGGCGUGCUUAACACAUGCAAGUCGAACGGAGUACCCCUGAAGGAGUUUUCGGACAACUGAUGGGACUACUUAGUGGCGGACGGGUGAGUAACGCGUGAGUAACCUGCCUUGGAGUGGGGAAUAACAGCUGGAAACAGCUGCUAAUACCGCAUAAUAUGUCUGUGUCGCAUGGCACUGGACAUCAAAGAUUUAUCGCUCUGAGAUGGACUCGCGUCUGAUUAGCUAGUUGGCGGGGUAACGGCCCACCAAGGCGACGAUCAGUAGCCGGACUGAGAGGUUGGCCGGCCACAUUGGGACUGAGACACGGCCCAGACUCCUACGGGAGGCAGCAGUGGGGAAUAUUGGGCAAUGAGCGCAAGCCUGACCCAGCAACGCCGCGUGAAGGAAGAAGGCUUUCGGGUUGUAAACUUCUUUUCUCAGGGACGAAGCAAGUGACGGUACCUGAGGAAUAAGCCACGGCUAACUACGUG
rnacentral:rRNA from 1 species